rnacentral:rRNA from 1 species
GUGGGGAAUAUUGGACAAUGGGCGAAAGCCUGAUCCAGCCAUGCCGCGUGUGUGAAGAAGGUCUUCGGAUUGUAAAGCACUUUAAGUUGGGAGGAAGGGCAGUAAGUUAAUACCUUGCUGUUUUGACGUUACCGACAGAAUAAGCACCGGCUAACUUCGUGCCAGCAGCCGCGGUAAUACGAAGUGUGCAAGCGUUAAUCGGCAUUACUGGGCGUACAGCGCGCGUAGGUGGUUCAGCAAGUUGGAGGUGAAAUCCCCGGGCUCAACCUGGGAACUGCCUCCAAAACUACUGAGCUAGAGUACGGUAGAGGGUAGUGGAAUUUCCUGUGUAGCGGUGAAAUGCGUAGAUAUAGGAAGGAACACCAGUGGCGAAGGCGACUACCUGGACUGAUACUGACACUGAGGUGCGAAAGCGUGGGGAGCAAACAGGAUUAGAAACCCGAGUAGUCC